CUCCUGGAAACGGGUGGUAAUACCGGAUGCUCCGCCCCACCGCAUGGUGGGGUGGGAAAUGCUUUUUGCGGCAUGGGAUGGGGUCGCGUCCUAUCAGCUUGUUGGCGGGGUGAUGGCCCACCAAGGCGUUGACGGGUAGCCGGCCUGAGAGGGUGACCGGCCACAUUGGGACUGAGAUACGGCCCAGACUCCUACGGGAGGCAGCAGUGGGGAAUAUUGCACAAUGGGCGCAAGCCUGAUGCAGCGACGCCGCGUGCGGGAUGGAGGCCUUCGGGUUGUAAACCGCUUUUGUUCAAAGGCAAGGCACGGUCUUUUGGCCGUGUUGAGUGGAUUGUUCGAAUAAGCACCGGCUAACUACGUGCCAGCAGCCGCGGUAAUACGUAGGGUGCGAGCGUUAUCCGGAUUUAUUGGGCGUAAAGGGCUCGUAGGCGGUUCGUCGCGUCCGGUGUGAAAGUCCAUCGCCUAACGGUGGAUCUGCGCCGGGUACGGGCGGGCUGGAGUGCGGUAGGGGAGACUGGAAUUCCCGGUGUAACGGUGGAAUGUGUAGAUAUCGGGAAGAACACC
rnacentral:rRNA from 1 species